CACUGAACACGCUGAACAUGCCCAGUCUCACCUGAUCUUGGAUACUAAUCAGGGUAGGGCCUGAUUAGUAUUUGGAUGGGAGAAACAUAAUUGCAACCCAAAACAGAAGUACUACAGUGC
rnacentral:rRNA from 1 species